rnacentral:rRNA from 1 species
AACGUAGGAGCCAAGCGUUAUCCGAAUUCACUGGGCGUAAAGCGCACGUAGGCGGCCCAGCAAGUCGGGUGUGAAAGCCCUCGGCUUAACCGAGGAAGUGCAUUCGAAACUACUGAGCUUGAAUACUGGAGAGGAUCGCGGAAUUCCCGGUGUAGAGGUGAAAUUCGUAGAUAUCGGGAGGAACACCAGUGGCGAAGGCGGCGAUCUGGACAGAUAUUGACGCUGAGGUGCGAAAGCGUGGGGAGCAAACAGG